ACCCGCCGUCGGCGGGGUAACCGGGAUGGAGCCAGCCGCCGACGGUGGGCCAGAUGAUUGGGGUGAAGGCGUAACAAGGUAGCCGGAUCGGAAGGUGCGGCUGGAGCACCUCCUUG
rnacentral:rRNA from 1 species